rnacentral:lncRNA from 1 species
UUCUUGGGGUAUUUUUGAAAAAAAAUAUGAAAACUGGGGAUUAAAACGUAAUUUAAAAAAAUUGUACCACGUCAGCUGCCCGGUCAGCAGCCCCGACCAACCAGAACGCGCCGCGUGGCAGAGACACUGACGCGGGAGGCGACGCGGAAGGGAGUCACGUGGGUGAUCCGCGUGCGUGUGAUCGAACGGCUGAGAUCCGUUCCCGCGCGCACGGAUGACCUAGAUCAAAAGUGCGCACGGAC